GGGUUGCUAAUCUAGCGGUAUAACGCGUCGUUUCUUUCGAUAAUUAUUUCUCUAUAUAGGCCAAGCUCCCGAGAGAUAGUUAGAUCCUAGCGUGAGGUCGUAGGUUCGAAUCCUACGCGAUUUA